rnacentral:rRNA from 1 species
CCUACGGGAGGCAGCAGUGGGGAAUAUUGGACAAUGGGGGGAACCCUGAUCCAGCGACGCCGCGUGAGUGAAGAAGUAUUUCGGUAUGUAAAGCUCUAUCAGCAGGGAAGAAAGAAAUGACGGUACCUGACUAAGAAGCCCCGGCUAACUACGUGCCAGCAGCCGCGGUAAUACGUAGGGGGCAAGCGUUAUCCGGAUUUACUGGGUGUAAAGGGAGCGUAGGCGGCGAUGCAAGUCAGAAGUGAAAGCCCGGGGCUCAACUCCGGGACUGCUUUUGAAACUGUAUGGCUAGAUUGCAGGAGAGGCAAGUGGAAUUCCUAGUGUAGCGGUGAAAUGCGUAGAUAUUAGGAGGAACACCAGUGGCGAAGGCGGCUUGCUGGACUGUAAAUGACGCUGAGGCUCGAAAGCGUGGGGAGCAAACAGGAUUAGAUACCCGAGUAGUC